GACGAACGCUGGCGGCGUGCUUAACACAUGCAAGUCGAACGGGAAGGUCAGUGCUUGCACUGGUACUCGAGUGGCGAACGGGUGAGUAACACGUGGGUGAUCUGCCUUGCACUGUGGGAUAAGCUUGGGAGACUGGGUCUAAUACCGGAUAUGAACUGUCUUCAGUGUGGUGGUUGGAAUGUUUUUUCGGUGCUAGAUGAGCUCGCGGCUUAUCAGCUUGUUGGUGGGGUAUUGGCCUACCAAGGCGUCGACGGGUAGCCGGCCUGAGAUGGGGUACGGCCAAGUUGGAACUGAGAUGCGGCCCAGACUCCUACGGGACGCAGCAGAGGAGAAUAGUGCACAAUGGGCUGAAGCCUGAUCCAGCGAAGCCGUGUGGGGGAUGACGGCCUGCGGUUUGUAAUCUCCUUUCGUCAUGCACGAAGCGUAAGUGACGGUACCUGUAGAAGAAGCACCGGCUAACUACGUG
rnacentral:rRNA from 1 species